CAAGGACCAAAGAAGGGAAUUUAUUAAGGGCUGACAGAGUUGCUACUGCACAUAAGGCCAAACCAAGAGAGUUCCAAAUAGAAAAUAGAGUUGACAACAAGCGUGCCAAUGCAUCAAAGGGUAUGAACAAGGAUGCAACAUCUAAAUGCUCACAACAAAUAAACUAUCAGGUUAUUGGACUUCUACUGCAUAACUUCCCAAUUAUUUGCAUACGUUUUAUAAUAUUGUCAUCUGCUUGUUGUAAAAAUAAUACAACCUGAAAUUCAUAUUGUGUAUAUUAUUAAUUCACUCUUUGACCUUUGGAUAAGGCUGGCACUCCCGUAUACAUAAAGAGCUGGAGACAUAAAAUUAAGAAUGUUGCCUUAGGGACAAUACUGAGUGUUGAUCCAAAUCAGAAAGUUGGAGGCCUUGAGCUAGGCAAAGAAUUUUAUAUGCUGCGUGUUGGUCUUACCUCUGUGCCUGAUGAGCCACUAAUACGACCAUAUGACAACUUCCAAGUUAUCGGAGACGUAGGCAAAAAUCCUAUAGCAUGGCCUUCAAGUUGUGUUGCAAAGAGUGUCAGCCAAUCAUAUUGAUUUAGCCAGGUU